rnacentral:rRNA from 2 species
AUAAAUAAGCGGAGGAAAAGAAACCAAACGGGAUUCCCUUAGUAACGGCGAGCGAAAAGGGAAAUGUCCAGCGCCAAGUCUUGACAUGUUUGAUGUUCAAGAGAUGCGGCGUUAAUGUAUCGACCCAUCAUGCAUUGUUCUUUGUUUCAAGUUCCUACGACCGGGACUUCCAGAGCGGGUGUAAGACCCAUAGAGACGAGGAACCAGUGUAUGCUGUGCGAUGCAUUCUAGAGUCAGGUUGCUUGAGAGUGCAGCUUAAAGUCGGUGGUAAACUCCAUCCAAGACUAAAUAUUACAGCGAGACCGAUAGCAAACAAGUACCGUGAGGGAAAGUUGCAAAGCACUUUGAAGAGAGAGUUCAAAAGUACGUGAAACCACUGGGAGGCAAACAGAUGGAACCACGAAGUUUGCGUUCCGGUCGAUUCAAUCAUCACURUCUGUCAAUUGUCUGUGGUCAGGAUCUUUUAGGAGGUUGGCCUCUGGCAAUUGUGAUGGGUAGUGUUGGUGCAUUUCGUGCCGGAAAUGCUAAGCCACGUUCAACUAGAGUUGGGACGGCUGUAAGAAAGGAUCCGAGAAAGGUUGCCGUCAAGUGCUUGCAUUUGACGGUGUUAUAGUCUUGGAUCGGAACCGUCGCCUAACAAACUGGUUGAUAGAAAUUCUCCAUUUGGAGUUGAACUAUAUCUGCCUGCGGUUGUUAGUCGAUGUUGCGUAAUGUUCUUUGCGUAUCUUUCGAUGCGAAAAGGCUUUGCAAAGAUGUCGGCUAAUGGCUGUUUGCGUGAUAUGGUGGAACUGUGGCACGAGUAGGUCGGUCUCCAUCUGACCCGUCUUGAAACACGGACCAAGGAGCCUAUCAUAUACGCGAGUCGCUCGGUCUUGUUUAGGCCUGGGAGGCGUAAUGAAAGUAAAGUUACUAGGCUUCGGCUGCAGUAACGGCUCGCCCACUUCGUUUAUUGGCGAUCUGGCGAAGCUGGAGCGUAUACGAUGGUACCCGAAAGAUGGUGAACUAUGCCUGGGCAAGACGAAGCCAGAGGAAACUCUGGUGGAGGUCUGUAGCGAUUCUGACGUGCAAAUCGAUCGUCAGACCUGGGUAUAGGGGCGAAAGACUAAUCGAACCAUCUAGUAGCUGGUUCCCUCCGAAGUUUCCCUCAGGAUAGCAGGCGUUUAUUAGUCGCAGUCUCAUCCGGUAAAGCUAAUGAUUAGAGGUCUUGGGGUUGAAACGACCUCAACCUAUUCUCAAACUUUAAAUGGGUGAGAUGGUUGACUUUCUUGAUUGAAGCCAACCAUUUGGAUGCAAAUGCCUAGUGGGCCAUUUUUGGUAAGCAGAACUGGCGCUGUGGGAUGAACCAAACGUCGAGAUAAGGCAUCAAAUGCGUACGCUCAUCAGACCCCAUGAAAGGUGUUGGUUGCUAUAGACAGCAGGACGGUGGCCAUGGAAGUCGGAAUCCGCUAAGGAGUGUGUAACAACUCACCUGCCGAAGCAACUAGCCCUGAAAAUGGACGAUGCUGUAGCGUGGAGCCGAUACUCGACCGUUAUGAUGAUUUUGUAGAGAAUACGAUAUCAUAACGAGUAGGAGGGCCGCAAUGUUAGCAUUGAAGGUGUCCGGCGUGAGCCGGCCUGGAGCUAUCAUUGUU